GUGUCCCCAAGGUCACACAGACGGCCAGAGCAGCCUCUAGAACUCAAAUCAAGAAACAGCAGCUCCUGGAAAUCUCUGAAAGUCACAGACCAAGGAUAAGCAUUGGCUUGAUAUCACUUUUCUACUUUUCCUUCCAAAAAAUUUCUGGACUGUCUUCCAGCACCAAGACCAUUAAUCCAGUGGCACGUGUUACUGCUUCUCCAUGACCCUUAUGACUAAGGACACCUUCCUAGUGAUGUCAACUUGAUCCCAACAACACAAACCGUCACCUUCCAUGCAAAGGAAGGGCACAGAGGACUUUGAAAUACAGACUUCCUCCCCUCCCCGGUUCCAGAGCCUCAUGACUAUAGGACCAGGCCUGGAAGCCCAGAGCACGAGGCCUGGAAGAGACUGCACCAUCCUUCCUCAUCAUGCAAUGAUUCGUUGCUUGCUCUGCACUCAGCCUGGGCCUUUCCCAUCAAGAGGAGAUGGGGAAGAGAGGGGAGAUGGAGAGAGGGGAGAUGGAGAGAGGGGAGAUGAGUCUGGCCCCAGUCCUGUUUCUGUUGCAGGGAAUCUAUCCCUCAAGAGAUGAAGACAUUCUGACCCUGGGGACUUGGGAAAUGGAUUCCUUCAUCCAGCAUGUUAGUUCUGCUUUUGCUUCCUUUGCUCUUUCCCACCUCUCCGACUGCUGCUGAAAUGCUGAGGUCUUGGAGGUCUGCCCCUUGGAUGAGACCUGCUGGAGCCGAUGACAACCUGGAUAGGAACCAAGCAGGCCAAACCCCUGGUGCUCAUUGCCUUCACCUGAACCAACCUUGUUUGGCUCCACCUGCACAGGUCCCAGGUCCCAGUGAGUAGGGCAUGGACCCUUUUCCCUUUCUGACAGCCCUGUGUUGCUGUGGUUCUCUGAGGCCCCUGUCACAGGGCACUGCAGUGGACUAAACCCCUCUAUGGCGGGACACUUAGCCCUCACUUGUCUGCAUCUGAACUCUUCCUUUGAUCUCCCUGCAGCAAACAGCAGCUCAUCCUGUUUCAACUCUCCCAGGGAUGUCUCAGCCUCACCCAAGAACAAAGUCUUCCUACAAGACCCUCAGUCUUCUCACAUAAUCCUAAAGACACCAAAUUAAUUCUGGCUCUAACAUAAAUAGUUCCAUUCUAGUGGGUUCAUCUAUUCCUAAAAGUUAAAAGUUGAUUUUUUUUUUUUACCUAAUAUACCUUGACUCCCUUUCCACAUCCCUGCAUAAAGUAUGCCCAGCACUGUGUGAGGUCUGGAGACACAGCCCUCUUGGAGUUUACAGGACAGGCUAUAGCAGCUCUUUCACCUUUGGUUGUUUAUCUACUGCCCUCUUGGUGGAUAGUUUGGCCAUUUUCAAUGGUUGCACAACUACAAACUAUCAUGCAAUGCACACCCUUAUGCCUGCAUAUUUGCACAGUUGUGUGAAUAUCUAUGUACGGUAAAUUCCUGGAAGUGGAAUCGCUGGAUCAAAGAGAAUGCAUUCUUUAACUUUUUAAAUCAUUUUUUUCCAUUUUUAAAAAUUUUGUAUAGAUUGAGGGGUACAAGUGCAAUUUUGUUACCUGGAUAUAUUGCAUAGUGGUAAAAUCUGGGCUUCUAGUGUAACCAUCACCUGAAUAGUGUAUUUACAUUGUAUUCAUUAUGUAAUUUCUCAUCCCUCACCCCCUCCCACCCUCCCACCCUUUCAAGUCUCCAAUGUCUAUUAUUCCAAACUCUGUGUCCAUAUAUACACAUUAUUUAGCUCCCACUUAUAUGUGAGAACAUGUGGUAUUUGACUUUCCAUUUCUGAGAUAUUUCAUGUAAGAUAAUGGCCUUCAGUUCCACACAUGUUGCUGUAAAAUACAUGAUUUCAUUCUUUUUUAUGGCUGAGUAGUAUUCCAGGGUGUAUAUGCACCAUAUUUUCUUUAUCCAAUCAUCCAUUGAUCGACACUUAGGUUGAUUCCAUCUCUUUGCUAUUGUGAACAGUGCUGCAAUAAACAUAGCAAUACAGGUAUCUUUUUGAUGUAAUUAUAAAAUCAAUUUUGUUGAGAUAUAAUUUACAGAAAUGGGCCUAUAUAAAAUGUACAAUUUAAUGAGUCUUAACAUAUAUAUAAUACCUGUGUUUAUGUAUACACAUUUGUGAAUAUAUAUUAAUAUAUACACCUGUAAGGCCACUAGCAUUAUCAACAUACAGAAUAUUUCCAUUCUUCUUUUCCAUUCGUAGUCUAUCCCCCCAUUUAUAUCCUGCUCCAGGCAAACACUGAUCUGCUUUCUGCCACUAUACAUUGGCCUACAUUUUCUAGAUUUUUAUUUUUAUUUUUAUGAGGCAGGGUCUUGCUCUGUUGCCCAAGCUGGAGUGCAGUGGUGCAAUUACGGCUCACUGUAGCCUUAACUUCCUGGGCUCAAGCCAUCCUCCCGCCUCAGUCUCCCAAGUAGCUGGGACUACAGGUGCAUGCCAAAUCACCUGGCUAAAUUUUUUAAGUUUAUAGUGGAGAUGAGGUCUUGCUAUGUUGCCCAGGCUGGUCUCCUAAAGCACUGGGAUUACAGGUAUGAGCCAGUGUGCCUGGCCCAUUUUCUAGAUCUUCUAUAAAGAAGAGUUCUACACCCAGCAUGGGCUCUGGCUUCUGGCUUCCCUUGAGAUUCAUGUGUUGUUGUACAUAUUAGUACUUCCUUCAUUUUCACUGAUGAGUAGUAUCCGGUGGAUGGAAUGGACAGUAUAGGUAGGCCACAAUUUGUUUAUGCAUUUUUUGGUGGACAGAUUUCUGGGUUGUUUUCAGUUUUAAGCUACA
rnacentral:lncRNA from 10 species